rnacentral:ncRNA from 2 species
CACCGCCCAUCGCUCCUACCGAUUAAAUGGUCUAGUGAAAGUGUUCGGAUCACGGCGAUGUGAGAGCUUUGUUGCCCACAAUGUCGCGAGAAGUCCACUAAACUUUAUCAUUUAGAGGAAGAAGUCGUAACAAGGUUUCCGUAGGUGAGCCUGCUGAAG